rnacentral:rRNA from 1 species
AGUGAACGCUGGCGGCAGGCCUAACACAUGCAAGUCGAACGGCAGCACAAGAGAGCUUGCUCUCUGGGUGGCGAGUGGCGGACGGGUGAGGAAUGCAUCGGAAUCUGCCCAUUUGUGGGGGAUAACCUCGGGAAACCGGGACUAAUACCGCAUACGACCUACGGGUGAAAGCAGGGGGUCUUCGGACCUUGCGCAGAUGGAUGAGCCGAUGCCGGAUUAGCUAGUUGGAGGGGUAAAGGCCCACCAAGGCGACGAUCCGUAGCUGGUCUGAGAGGAUGAUCAGCCACACUGGGACUGAGACACGGCCCAGACUCCUACGGGAGGCAGCAGUGGGGAAUAUCGGACAAUGGGCGCAAGCCUGAUCCAGCCAUGCCGCGUGUGUGAAGAAGGCCUUCGGGUUGUAAAGCACUUUUGUUGGGAAAGAAAAGCAGCCGGUUAAUACCCGGUUGUCAUGACGGUACCCAAAGAAUAAGCACCGGCUAACUUCGUG